rnacentral:rRNA from 1 species
ACGGCCUCCUUUUUUCCCGGGAGCUUGCUCCACCGGAAAAGAAGAGUGGCGAACGGGUGAGUAACACGUGGGUAACCUGCCCAUCAGAAGGGGAUAACACUUGGAAACAGGUGCUAAUACCGUAUAACAAUCAAAACCGCAUGGUUUUGAUUUGAAAGGCGCUUUCGGGUGUCGCUGAUGGAUGGACCCGCGGUGCAUUAGCUAGUUGGUGAGGUAACGGCUCACCAAGGCCACGAUGCAUAGCCGACCUGAGAGGGUGAUCGGCCACAUUGGGACUGAGACACGGCCCAAACUCCUACGGGAGGCAGCAGUAGGGAAUCUUCGGCAAUGGACGAAAGUCUGACCGAGCAACGCCGCGUGAGUGAAGAAGGUUUUCGGAUCGUAAAACUCUGUUGUUAGAGAAGAACAAGGAUGAGAGUAACUGUUCAUCCCUUGACGGUAUCUAACCAGAAAGCCACGGCUAACUACGUGCCAGCAGCCGCGGUAAUACGUAGGUGGCAAGCGUUGUCCGGAUUUAUUGGGCGUAAAGCGAGCGCAGGCGGUUUCUUAAGUCUGAUGUGAAAGCCCCCGGCUCAACCGGGGAGGGUCAUUGGAAACUGGGAGACUUGAGUGCAGAAGAGGAGAGUGGAAUUCCAUGUGUAGCGGUGAAUUGCCGUAGAUAAA